AAAAAAACAAGUUGGUUUCAAGUUUGAAAUUAACAAUGAAGUUUAUUUUUGCCAUUCUAUUACUCGGUGUUUGCACCAUAGUCAAAGCCACUCUUGAUACGUGGCGACCACAACACUUGGCAAGGCUGAAAUACUUACUUCAGAAAAAACUUGACUUACGUGAUGAGGAAGUAGACAAUAUUAUGGCGCAGGUAAUGCAUCUUAACGAUUCUCCCCCGAAAUCUGAAAAAUACUAUCG